rfam:Desulfovibrio africanus str. Walvis Bay, complete genome.
GGGGGCGCACUGGUUUCGACGGGGAUAGUCGAAGCCUUGGUUGCAGGCCGAGGAGCCGCUGGCCUCGUAAAAAGCGGCAACUGAAUAAUCGCCAACGAUUACAAUUACUCCCUGGCAGCUUAGCUAGCCAGCGCUUCGCCGGCAGAUGUCUGAUACGCCGGGUCGAAGUGCCAAAACAUCAGACUGGCGCAACGCGGUGUCCGUGACGCCGAGCGCGAGAACUUUUGCGGACUCACCAGAAGAAAAGCCCGUUCAGGGGCGUUCCUUCGGUUAAAUAAAACCUGAACUAAGCCUGUAGAUGCCAUGAGCUAAGCGUUCUCGGACGCGGGUUCGAUUCCCGCCGCCUCCACCA